rnacentral:lncRNA from 1 species
CUCCUGCAAUGCAAUCAGCUAGCUUCUGGCAUUACACAGAAAAGAGAUUAAUCCUCAUGCUGCAAAAAUAAAUGAGACAGCACAGCUUUCCUCGGAUCUUGAUAAAUCCACAGGCACCUUUGUUUCUUACUUUUCCAGAAGAGAGUUGGGAGUAUCAGCCUGCAGCAGGUAGAAGGUUUGACUCCCUCUACCAUGAAGAGUAAUCUGGAUUAUCCUCUUUUCAGGCAAAAAUGAAUGGUAAGUAAAAUUAUUUGUAUCAUCACUCUUCCAGACCUCAACUGAGAUACCUUGGUGCUGCUUUCCUUGAGGUGCUGGAGUUACACACAGCAUUAGGAUUUCUGAUGAACAGCUGUUUCUAACAUUUUAA